rnacentral:rRNA from 1 species
CAGUCGCCGCGGGAAAACGAAGGGGGCUAGCGUUGUUCGGAUUUACUGGGCGUAAAGCGCACGUAGGCGGACUUUUAAGUCAGGGGUGAAAUCCCGAGGCUCAACCCCGGAACUGCCUUUGAUACUGGGAGUCUUGAGUUCGAGAGAGGUGAGUGGAAUUGCGAGUGUAGAGGUGAAAUUCGUAGAUAUUCGCAGGAACACCAGUGGCGAAGGCGGCUCACUGGCUCGAUACUGACGCUGAGGUGCGAAAGCGUGGGGAGCAAACAGGAUUAGAUACCCCCGUAGUCCCUGUCUCUUAUAC